AGUGGCCGUCCUCGGAGCAGUCUGAGCCCGACGAUGAGGCCAGGGACGGGAGCUGAGCGUGGAGGCCUCAUGAUGGGGCGCCGUGGCAUGCAUUAUGCCCCGAUGGGAAUGCACCCUAUGAAUCAGAGAGCAAAUAUGCCUCCUGUCCCUCAGGGAAUGAUGCCUCAGAUGAUGCCCUCUGUGGGAGGGCCACCAAAGGGACAGAUGCCUGGAAUGAUGUCAUCAGUAAUGCCUGGAAUGAUGAUGUCUCAUAUGUGUCCACCUUCCAUGCAGCCUGCCUUACCGCCAGGAGUAAAUAGUAUGGAUGUAGCAGCAGGUACAGCAUCUGGUGCAAAAUCUAUGUGGACCGAACAUAAAUCACCUGAUGGAAGGACUUACUACUACAACAUUGAAACCAAACAGUCUACCUGGGAGAAACCAGAUGAUCUUAAAACACCUGCUGAGCAACUCUUAUCUAAAUGCCCCUAGAAGGAAUACAAAUCAGAUUCUGGAAAGCCUUACUAUUACAAUUCUCAAACAGAAGAAUUUUGCUGGGCCAAACGUAAAGAACUUGAGGAUCUCGAAGGAUACCAGAAUACCGUUGUUGCUGGAAGUCUUAUUACAAAAUCAAACCUGCAUGCAAUGAUCAAAGCUGAAGAAAGCAGUAAACAAGAAGAGUGCACGACAACGUCAACAGCCCCAGUCCCUACAACAGAAAUUCCAACGACAAUGAGCACCAUGGCUGCUGCAGAAGCAGCAGCUGCUGCUGCUGCGGCCAAUGCUAAUGCUUCCACUUCUACUUCUAAUACUGUCAGUGGAACUGUUCCAGUUGUUCCUGAGCCAGAAGUUACUUCCAUUGUUGCUACUGUUGUAGAUAAUGAGAAUACAGUAACUAUUUCAACUGAGGAACAAGCACAACUUACUAGUACCCCUGCUAUUCAGGAUCAAAGUGUGGAAGUAUCCAGUAAUACUGGAGAAGAAACAUCGAAGCAAGAAACUAUAGCUGAUUUUACUCCCAAAAAAGAAGAGGAGGAGAGCCAACCAGCAAAGAAAACAUAUACUUGGAAUACAAAGGAGGAGGCAAAGCAAGCCUUUAAAGAAUUAUUGAAAGAAAAGCGGGUACCAUCGAAUGCUUCAUGGGAGCAAGCUAUGAAAAUGAUUAUUAAUGAUCCACGGUACAGUGCUUUGGCAAAGUUAAGUGAAAAAAAGCAAGCCUUUAAUGCCUAUAAAGUCCAGACAGAAAAAGAAGAAGCAAGAUCAAAGUACAAAGAGGCUAAAGAGUCCUUUCAGCGUUUUCUUGAAAAUCAUGAGAAAAUGACUUCCACAACUAGAUAAAAAAAAGCAGAGCAAAUGUUUGGAGAGAUGGAAGUUUGGAAUGCAAUAUCAGAACGUGAUCAUCUUGAAAUCUAUGAAGAUGUUUUGUUCUUUCUUUCAAAAAAGGAAAAGGAACAAGCAAAGCAAUUGCGAAAGAGAAACUGGGAAGCCUUAAAAAACAUACUUGACAACAUGGCUAAUGUAACAUACUCUACCACUUGGUCUGAAGCCCAGCAGUAUCUGAUGGAUAAUCCAACUUUUGCAGAAGAUGAGGAGUUACAAAACAUGGACAAAGAAGAUGCAUUAAUUUGCUUUGAAGAACACAUUCGGGCUUUAGAAAAGGAAGAAGAAGAAGAAAAACAGAAGAGUUUGCUGAGAGAAAGGAGAUGACAGCGAAAAAAUCGGGAAUCCUUCCAGAUAUUUUUAGAUGAAUUACAUGAACAUGGACAACUACAUUCUAUGUCAUCUUGGAUGGAAUUGUAUCCAACUAUUAGUUCUGACAUUAGAAUCACUAAUAUGCUUGGUCAGCCUGUUUUUUCAUUAGGAUCAACUGCACUUGAUCUUUUCAAGUUUUAUGUUGAGGAUCUUAAAGCACGUUAUCAUGAUGAGAAGAAGAUAAUAAAAGACAUUCUAAAGGAUAAAGGAUUUGUAGUUGAAGUAAAUACCACUUUUGAAGAUUUUGUGGCAAUAAUUAGUUCAACUAAAAGAUCAACUACAUUAGAUGCUGGAAAUAUCAAAUUGGCUUUCAAUAGUUUACUCGAAAAGGCAGAAGCCCGUGAACGUGAAAGAGAAAAAGAGGAGGCUCGGAAGAUGAAAUGAAAAGAAUCUGCAUUUAAGAGUAUGUUAAAACAAGCUGCUCCUCCAAUAGAAUUGGAUGCUGUCUGGGAAGAUAUCCGUGAGAGAUUUGUAAAAGAGCCAGCAUUUGAGGACAUAACUCUAGAAUCUGAAAGAAAGCGAAUAUUUAAAGAUUUUAUGCAUGUGCUUGAGCAUGAAUGUCAGCAUCAUCAUUCAAAGAACAAAAAACAUUCUAAGAAAUCUAAAAAACAUCAUAGGGAACGUUCCUGCUCUCGAUCGGGGUCAGAUUCAGAUGAUGAUGAUAGCCAUUCAAAGAAAAAAAGACAACGAUCAGAGUCUCAUUCUGCUUCAGAACAUUCUUCUAGUGCAGAGUCUGAAAGAAGUUAUAAAAAGUCAAAAAAGCAUAAGAAGAAAAGUAAGAAAAAGAGACAUAAAUCUGACUCUCCAGAAUACGAUGCUUGAGCGAGAGAAGGAUAAAAAAGAAAAAGAUUGGGAAAGUGAAAAAGACAGAACUAGACAAAGAUCAGAAUCAAAACACAAAUCGCCUAAGAAAAAGACUGGAAAGGAUUCUGGUAAUUGGGAUACUUUCUGGCAGUGAACUGAGUGAAGGGGAAUUGGAAAAGUGCAGAAGAACCCUUUUGGAGAAACUGGAUGAUGAUCAAUAAAUUAUACCAAAUAUAUGUUUACAGUAUGAUUUAAAGUCUAAUUCAGACCAGGGACUAUAUUUUAAGUUCAACUGA